UGUAAGCGUAUACCAAAGUUGUUGCAGUUAAAACGCUCGUAGUCGGAAUUUGGCAGUUCCGGAUGUGUGCACGUCGUGUGCGCACUUCGCGGGGAUUGCUUUUGUGGUCUUGCGUAGGAUGAGGCACUUUUAUUAGUGAACGUCCUCACGCAACCACUUUUUACUGUGAGAAAAUCAGAGUGCUCAAAGCAGGCAUUUGCCGUGAAUGUAUUAGCAUGGAAUAAUAGAAUAGGACUUGGUUCUAUUUUGUUGGUUUGUUGGGACUGAGUAAUGAUUAAGAGGGACAGUUGGGGGCAUUUGUAUUUCGGUGCUAGAGGUGGAAUUCUUAGAUUACCGAAAGACAAACUGCUGCGAAAGCGUCCGCCAAGGAUGUUUUCAUUGA
rnacentral:rRNA from 1 species